rnacentral:rRNA from 1 species
GACUCUCGGCAACGGAUAUCUCGGCUCUCGCAUCGAUGAAGAACGUAGCGAAAUGCGAUACUUGGUGUGAAUUGCAGAAUCCCGUGAACCAUCGAGUUUUUGAACGCAAGUUGCGCCCGAAGCCGUCAGGCCGAGGGCACGCCUGCCUGGGUGUCACGCAACGUCGCCACGAACCCACUCAACCCCCCUUCCGCGGGGAACGUUGGGGGAUGGCGGAUAUUGGCCUCCCGUGGGCUCCCGCUCGCGGUUGGUCCAAAAAAGGGUCCCCUGGCGACGGCAGCCACGGCACGCGGUGGUUGGCAGAACGAGCUCCUCUAACACCGUCGUGGGCGAGCCUCGUCGAUGGGGGUGCGAAUGACCCCGGCGCAAGCGCCGCACUUUAAAAGCGACCCCAGGUCAGGCGGGAACACCCGCUGAGUUUAAG